CUGCACUGCACAGGAGAGACUGAAGUGCAGACAUCAACUGACAUUGAUUUUUCUUGAACUGGGCUGAGCAACAAACUCAAAGGAAAAGCCUCAGAAAGUGUUCCAGGAACGAACUUUCUGCAGUGUGAUGACCUGUAAGAGCAGCCCGUCCAUUGACAUUUCAAACUCUAAGUCAGCCGUGUCAAAGUUUGAACCAGGACUGUGGAGGAUAAUGGGUCAGAUGCGAUUAGCAGCCUGGAGAGCUGCAUACUGCAGUCUGAUUUAUUUUUUUGCCCAUCAGAUUCCAAGAAAUUUAGUGCUUAAAAGCUACUACACAAUUGCCCUAUUGUACUGAGAGAAAGCCCAGUUAAUUCAAAAAUCAGUUGCACCACCAGGUGGGGCACAUUGUGGCCCCAAACAGAAGAGGUCGGAAACUCCCCCAAAAUGCAGUCCUGCUAAAUUAAAAACUCGAUCCAGGGUGGAACAAAUAAGGAGCUGUGAAUGGGCCCGAGUCCACCCAGGCGAUUUCUUUCUUCUCCCACUCCUCUCCUGCCUUUACAAGAGAAAAAUGCACCAUUCCACUUUCAUCAGAGUUAGCAUUUAUGCAGCAACGCAGCCAUCCACCGUCUGCAGUAAAUGUGUUACUUUAAUUAGUCUGAAAAUUAAAGGGCAACUCUGGGCCAAUGUGAAUGAUUAUGAAAAUACGUGUGCAUCCCAUGCAAUCGUCUCAUUUAAUUAAUAGUCUUGUAAACUGUACCGCUCACUUUAAGUCAGUCGAGAAGUAUAACAACUCCAUUUUAAAUAUCCACUUAAUACUUAACAGCCUGUGAGGAACACACCAUAGUGUAGGGUCGCUUCUCGGGUUUCACUGUCUGAAAUUUUUCAAAGCUGACCCAAGUCAACCCGAAACAUGUUUAACACCCUGGGCUUGAACACAAGCAACUCUGUGAUGAACAGACAUUCAAUUACAUUUUUAAAAAGUGAGCAGCAUUUUUGAAAAAUAGUGACUCCGGAAAGUAAUUGGCAGCCGCAGAACUUGUGAACGAAAGCCAAAUCUUGUGGGGGAACUUUUACUACAUUAGCACAACUCAAAGAAAAUUGUGAAUAAGGGGCAUCUUUGUUUCCCAGUCAAAUUAGCUGAUUAAGAAAUGAAACGUCUUAACGUGUUUUUAAA